rnacentral:rRNA from 1 species
UACGUAGGUGGCAAGCGUUGUCCGGAAUUAUUGGGCGUAAAGCGCGCGCAGGCGGCCUCUUAAGUCUGAUGUGAAAGCCCCCGGCUCAACCGGGGAGGGCCAUUGGAAACUGGGAGGCUUGAGUAUAGGAGAGAAGAGUGGAAUUCCACGUGUAGCGGUGAAAUGCGUAGAGAUGAUGGAGGAACACCAGUGGCGAAGGCGACUCUUUGGCCUAUAACUGACGCUGAGGCGACGAAAGCGUGGGGAGCAAACAGG